AGCAACAAGAAAGCAGCGAUUCUGGGAAACCUCUCUCCUGCCUACUCUUCAGUUCCCUCCACGGUGACAGGUGCUCCCUGACUCUCUCAGCAGUCAGGAUCCCGGCUGCUCCGGAAAUGUGAAGAGCCUCAAGAUUAAUCCUGAUGCUUAGGGCACGAGAAUACCUUGCUAAUUUCCUUUUUUCCGGAAAAUCCACCUUUUUGGAAUGACCUUAGUCUUGGCCUACUCUGUGCAAAUAGUACUUUGCUAGACUUAUAACAACUGAUCUUAGAAAAUUGUAGGUUCAUAUGACGCUGAUGCCGCAGAGACUUCGGGCAUUUAUUCCUCAUCUGGCACUGAAUGACAUUUCUCUGAGUAAAAAAAGAAGACCAGA
rnacentral:lncRNA from 1 species